rnacentral:rRNA from 1 species
GGUUAAGUUAGAAAGGGCGCACGGUGGAUGCCUUGACACUAGGAGUCGAUGAAGGACGGGACUAACGCCGAUAUGCUUCGGGGAGCUGUAAGUAAGCUUUGAUCCGAAGAUUUCCGAAUGGGGAAACCCACCAUACGUAAUGGUAUGGUAUCCUUAUCUGAAUACAUAGGGUAAGGAAGACAGACCCAGGGAACUGAAACAUCUAAGUACCUGGAGGAAGAGAAAGCAAAUGCGAUUUCCUGAGUAGCGGCGAGCGAAACGGAACAUAGCCCAAACCAAGAGGCUUGCCUCUUGGGGUUGUAGGACAUUCUAUACGGAGUUACAAAGGAACGAGGUAGACGAAGCGACCUGGAAAGGUCCGUCGUAGAGGGUAACAACCCCGUAGUCGAAACUUCGUUCUCUCUUGAAUGUAUCCUGAGUACGGCGGAACACGUGAAAUUCCGUCGGAAUCUGGGAGGACCAUCUCCCAAGGCUAAAUACUCCCUAGUGAUCGAUAGUGAACCAGUACCGUGAGGGAAAGGUGAAAAGCACCCCGGAAGGGGAGUGAAAGAGAUCCUGAAACCGUGUGCCUACAAAUAGUCAGAGCCCGUUAACGGGUGAUGGCGUGCCUUUUGUAGAAUGAACCGGCGAGUUACGAUCCCGUGCGAGGUUAAGCUGAAGAGGCGGAGCCGCAGCGAAAGCGAGUCUGAAUAGGGCGUUUAGUACGUGGUCGUAGACCCGAAACCAGGUGAUCUACCCAUGUCCAGGGUGAAGUUCAGGUAACACUGAAUGGAGGCCCGAACCCACGCACGUUGAAAAGUGCGGGGAUGAGGUGUGGGUAGCGGAGAAAUUCCAAUCGAACCUGGAGAUAGCUGGUUCUCCCCGAAAUAGCUUUAGGGCUAGCCUUAAGUGUAAGAGUCUUGGAGGUAGAGCACUGAUUGGACUAGGGGUCCUCAUCGGAUUACCGAAUUCAGUCAAACUCCGAAUGCCAAUGACUUAUCCUUAGGAGUCAGACUGCGAGUGAUAAGAUCCGUAGUCAAAAGGGAAACAGCCCAGACCGCCAGCUAAGGUCCCAAAGUGUGUAUUAAGUGGAAAAGGAUGUGGAGUUGCUUAGACAACUAGGAUGUUGGCUUAGAAGCAGCCACCAUUUAAAGAGUGCGUAAUAGCUCACUAGUCGAGUGACUCUGCGCCGAAAAUGUACCGGGGCUAAAUACACCACCGAAGCUGCGGAUUG